rnacentral:rRNA from 1 species
UACGGGGGGGGCAAGCGUUGUUCGGAAUUACUGGGCGUAAAGGGCGCGUAGGCGGCCUUCUAAGUCGGACGUGAAAUCCCUCGGCUUAACCGAGGAACUGCGUCCGAUACUGAAAGGCUUGAAUCCGGGAGAGGGAUGUGGAAUUCCAGGUGUAGCGGUGAAAUGCGUAGAUAUCUGGAGGAACACCGGUGGCGAAGGCGGCAUCCUGGACCGGUAUUGACGCUGAGGAGCGAAAGCUGGGGGAGCAAACAGU